rnacentral:rRNA from 1 species
GACCAAGACCAAUCAGGCUUUGCCUGGAAUCUGGUGACUCUGAAUAACUUUGCUGAUCACACGGUCCUAGCACCGGUGACAUAUCUUUCAAGUGUCUGCCCUAUCAACUUUCGAUGGUAGUUUAUGUGCCUACCAUGGUGGUAACGGGUAACGGAGAAUAAGGGUUCGACUCCGGAGAGGGAGCCUGAGAAAUGGCUACCACAUCCAAGGAAGGCAGCAGGCGCGCAAAUUACCCACUCUCAGCACGAGGAGGUAGUGACGAAAAAUAACGAGACGGUUCUCUAUGAGGCCCGUCAUCGGAAUGGGUACAAUUUAAACCCUUUAACGAGGAUCUAUUGGAGGGCAAGUCUGGUGCCAGCAGCCGCGGUAAUUCCAGCUCCAAUAGCAUAUGCCAAUACUGUUGCUGUUAAAAAGCCCGUAGUUGACAUCUCACCGAGGAGGGAGUCGGUCUCAAGGACCUGCACUCUUUUCCGAGGUUAUUUCAGCUGGUUUUCUCAUGGUGCUCUUUAUUGGGUGUCAUGGGUGGCUAGCACGUUUACUUUGAAAAAAUUAGAGUGCUCAAAACAGGCGUUACUGCCCGAAUAGUGGUGCAUGGAAUAAUGGAAUAGGAUCUCGGUUCUAUUUUGUUGGUUUUAGGAGCGCGAGAUAAUGAUUAAGAGAGACAGACGGGGGCAUUCGUAUUGUGGCGUUAGAGGUGAAAUU